GAUGGCGGUGUUUAUGCAAUACAGUGGGAUUGAGGCGUGGAUUAGGAAAAGUCUAACGGGUUGGAAAAUAAAGGGUGGUGAGUAUUGAGACGGGGGCCGAACAAACCGCGGGGAUUACUGCCGACAACAGGGCAAUUGUGUAAGUAUAUGGAUGAAUGUGUGUAUAUUCCUGUCCUUUCCGCCGAUCCCUCAUUCAACUUCAAUUUUCGAAAAUCUUCUUCAAUUUCUUGAAAUAAAUUUGAAAUCCAAACCAGAGAGCGUUCGUUUAAAGGAUUUAGAUGGAUAACGUCCGUUGUCCGGAAGGACAAAAAAGGAGGAGAAGUGGUGACGGGUAGGAGUCUCAUGCUUUUCCAAGGCCUUUUUAAAUUUAUGCACAAAUACAUCAAAUUAAUGAAUGAGCAAAGCAGAAGC
ensembl:ncRNA F41D9.14 ncRNA